GCUGAGAGCGAGCCGCCCACCCCACACUCCGUCGUGCCCGGGCUGCCCUUGCUCCCUGCCGGGCACCAGGACCAGGCUGGGGGGAGGGAGGCGCCUUCCCUACCUGUACGGGAUCCAGUCCGCCUGGUGCUUUGAAGUCAUCGCGCCCCGGCGGAGGCGGCUGCCCCAGGGGCAGCACGAGCGCUCGGAGCCGGAGGAGAGGACGCCGCGGCUGGUCCCCUGAGAUCUCACCGAAAAGGUAGCCAGUGCAAACCAGUCGCUAGGACUCAAAGCUUGUCACUUAUUUUUCCUACGGAUCACAAGUCCUUUCACAGCCACUUCUUUGUGAGCCUGGGAAUCUAGGUGCCCCUUGACUCUUGACAAGUUACACAGGCAUCAAGGUAGCAGUGUAUCUGGAGGUGGACUUGGAAGAUGGAAAAGAAUCCUUAUGGAUCAUGCAGGGAGGAGGUUCCCUGCAGACAGACAUUGAGGAAGAAAGCACAAAGAUAAGAGCAACAAGGAGUCAAGGCUGGCAGCAUUGGUCAGGAGGAAAGGAUAAAAUGAUAAAGAGACAAGAGGAGCAGAGUUAUGAAGAGCCAGCUUGUUAACGACCGUUCCCCCAACCCCAAAAAAAGUCUUCAAGCAGUCUCUGUGCAUUAUGGUAUGAUCAUGCUGAUCAUAAAUCCUUUGCAGUUGGGAGGCAUGGUCACCAUCUCAGAAAAGAUGAUGUAAAAUUAGAGGUGGUUCAUUCAGAGAAGGCAAUAAGAAUCAUUAAGGGCCUGGAAAAGCUCUCAUAUGAAGAGAGAAUGAAAAGAUUAGGAUUGUUUAUCUUAAAAAAGAAGAUGAAUAAGAGGGAACAUGAUCAAAAGUGUGUGUGUAUAUAUAUAUUUUAAAAAAGAAAACAGAAGCUUCUACCUUGUAAUAUUAUAUAAACUGGUAUAGAGAUGGUAGAAGCUUCUGUUCUGUUCCAUUCUCUUUUUUUAGAAAUACAAGAACAAGGAGACAUUCAAUGAAAUUAAAAGAUGGCAAAUGGAAAACUGAUAAAGUAAUACUUUUUCACACAAGACAUAACUGGACUGUGGAACUUAGUGCCAUGGAAUGCUGUUGAGGCCAAGAAUUUAGCAAAUUCAAAAUGGCAGUGGAUGUUUAUACAGAUAACAAUAGCGAGGAUUAUCAUAAUGAAUUGUGACAGAUUUUUGAAGGAAUAUUAAAUCUGAUGAUUCAGGGCUUUAAUUAAUCUCUAUUAGAGAUCAGGACCUAAUGGGGGGACAAAUUAUCCCACAUCUGUCUCCUGCAGGGUUUUUACACCUUCCUCCGAAGCUCCUGGUGCUGAACACUGUCGGAGUCAGAACACUCUCAGGUCCAAUCCUGUAUGGCAGUUCCUAUGAGUAACAAACCACACUUUCAUCACCGCUAGAAAAAUCUUAAUUUAAUUGAAAAGAAUAGGCUGAAGAAAUAUCUGUGGGUUUGUGUGGUAGUAAAUGGUUUGGGUUGGUUUUUUUAACUGUGCCCAUUGCAGAAUAUAGCAAAAAACACCACGGAUCAAGAAGUUCUUGAGUUCUUCAGAGAAUGUUGUCAGGAUUUGUGAUAUCAAUAGAACAUGUACUGUCAAAAAGCCCCAAGUACAAAUGUCUGCUAGAUGAAUUCAUACGCAAACAUCAAAAAGGACCCGCUGAAUAUUUGAGCUGUUUGAAUUGGUGAAAGCGUUUACCAUAGUGUAAUAGCGUGAGAGAGUGUUUAUGUUUAAAAAUAAAAAGUGUAAAAGGUAAUCAGAUUUUCAAGGUGAAAAACAGGGACAUUUGCCUUGGGAGAGGGGGAGUUGUAGGGUAUGGUUUCAGUGUGGGGUCAGAAAGAUGUGCAUAAAGUAAAUAGAAGGGAAGGAAAAUAAUUCUCAUUCCUUUCUCUUGCAUUUUCUGUGCUUUAGGGGUUUUUUUUCUUUUACCUUUUUUUUCCCUUUGCUCCCCUCUCCUCCUCUUUCUUCCCUAGCUGUCACCCACUUAGCUUCUCCUCCCACUCUUUGUGCCACACUUUGCUGUCUUUGGCUUCCAACCUUUCUGUUCUUUCCCACCCUCAGUAUCCUACCACAAUCUGGUACUCACCUCAGACAGGUGAGGUGAGCAGAAGUGUGGAUCCCAGUCUUCAUUCUGGGUCAAUAGUUGUCUGCAAUGGAGGCAGCGCAGCUGAGCUAUCUGUGCACUUAGAGUUGUGUCUAGACUCAGACUUCACAAGGAUCUGACUGAGGGUGAAAAGGGCAGUCCUCACUCGGAAGUUCAUGGAGGGUCAAGGUGGUACCUUUAUUGUACAAGAGACCUCAGGAUGGCCCUGGAAGUGCAUAAGUGCUCAUUUAACCUGCUGCCAAUUUUUAGCAGCUCAGCCUGGACUUGGAUCUUUGAAGUGGUCAGUUUCCUGACAGUUACUAUACAAAACAGGACAAAGCACUUGUACAUAACUUCUAUGUAAUAAGGCAGGAAUAUCUGUAAGCCAACAUGAUAGCUGGCUGCUAAAGCUAACUGUAAAGAGAACUGCAUCCAUCAAAAGCUAUUUAGUUUUCAUGCUUAAUUAGUUUUAGUCACCAAGCUGAUAGGCAAGACUUACUUCCAUUAGAUGAAGAAGAGAAUUUUUAAAAGAUUAAGUGAUGUAUAUACACAACACUGUAUUAUCAUAAUGCUGUUGGAAACCAGUGUUGUAGUUAAGAUUGCAAACUCAUGUGCAUUGCAAAACUUGUUCACUGAGAACUGUCUCUUUACAUAUAGAUUUGUUACUUGAGCAAUUAUUCCGAGUUUGUCCUCCAUGUGAGGUAGCUGUCCUGCAAAUACAUUUAGUGAUUGAGAUGAUGAAUAAUACAACACAGCUUUACCUAACAGUUGAAAACAUCUGAAUUCGAUGCAAAAACCCUUCUGGCAAUCAAAGUAAGGAGCAUCCAACACUGAAGCAUGAAACCUCAGUCUGCUGUCUUAAUCCUUGAAACAGAUAUGAAAUAUCCGUACCAAUUUGGAAAUCAGUGUGCAGGAUAUAAGUGGGGAUUUUUUGGAGAUUUAUUAUUCCAUUCAAACUCUUGUUUAUUCUUCUUCCCUCUUAGUAGAACCACCUGCUUCUUUCUUGUUUCUAGGCUGACAGAAUGGCAUUGUUUAGAGACAGUCUGCUAAGAAAAUAGAA